AUGCGCAGCGCUGCUGGCCCGCUCUCUGAGGAGCUUUCAAUACUUUGGGGUCAAGUUUGAGGCAGUUGUAACUGUACUGAGUUUAGUUUUGCUAAUAAUGGUAUUCUACGUGUGUCAGCCUCGUGUGGACUUCUGUAAUGACUAAUGGAUAUGUUUAUAUCCUGAGCAUUUGCUGUAGGAAUUUUAAAUGCAAUCCCAAAACUCAAGAUUACCUUAUUUGGAGAAAUAUUCGUGUUACUAUGUUUAAAAUUUAAUAGAACCAUAUUUUACCUUUCACUUUGGGACUCGCACAGGAUGUUUGCAGCUCUUGAUAUACAGGAACUAGAACGUGUCUUUUAAGAGCAUGCGGUUUUAUAAUUACGUGGAAGUAUGCUACGCAAGGGAAAAAAGCCUCUUGCUGUAACUGAGGAUCCUUGAAGAA
rnacentral:lncRNA from 1 species